CACCGCCUUCCCGGAGUGGGGAGGUCCCUUAGGCCGCCCCGCAGCCGUGCUGGGCCUCCCCUGGAGUCGCUGCUGGGAGGUUCAAGAGGGCCUUGUCACCGGCCCUCGCAGCACGCCGUGCUUUCCUGAAGUGGGAUCUGUGUGACGCUGAAGGACACCCAGCACGAAUCGUUCCAGAUGAUGUUAAGAGGUUUCAUGCUGCCAGCGGCACGCAGCCCUGGGGACGGCUUCACAGCAGAGCUGUGGAGGCCACAACCCUGAUGUUAUCACGGAGCAGCACUGGUUUGUGAAGGCACGGGAGGCUGCUUCCAGUCUGGGGCUGUUAGAGGAAAUCGCGCUGUUUCCAGGGCUCUUCUUUUCUACAAAUUCCAUGCUGGAAAAAUUGGAGUCAGAAUCAUAACAAUUAAAAAGCAGGAAAACAAAUACAGAGAACCCUGCAUUAAUUAUUUGAAUUCUCAUGAUUUCCAGGGUUAUACUGUGAUUUCUAGAUGGAGUUCAGAAUUUCUGAGAGCGUGCUUUGGCUGGCUGCCAAGGGGUGCAUUGAAAGCUAAGAAUAAUACGUACCAGUUGAAGUUUCUCCUUCUCUAUGCCACCCUCUUGAAAAUCGUUUAAUGUGAAGAAGAUAUCACAGAUGCCAUAUCAUGUAACACAGCUCGCUGGCCUGGCAGAGGACUGCUACAUAGCCGUGCAGCUGUUCUCUCUGUGAAACUACAGAUCUGCACACGUUGAGCACUGGUUGAGGGCCGCUCUGUCCCGCUGCGGUUGGUCCUUACAAUAUGCAGGCUGCCACAGGAACUUGUAAUUCAAAUCCAUAACGUCCUCAAAGACUCAAAGGCAGAAAAUAGCAUGAUAAAAAUCAAAGGCUGUACUUCAUACGUGAGUUGUCUCCUAACUUCCCUGCAAGAGCACUGUUUUUGCAGGUUUGUAUGUCCCCAGGUGGCUGUAUGGGGGCCUAGCAAUACAUUUGCACCAGACAAAGCAGACUUUCAAAGGCUAGCAGACAUGUUUCAUCUUAAGGGUACCAGGUAAAGUGUUUGUUAAGAUCUGAAUUUACUGUUCCUUGUUGAUAAAACGAUCUCUCCCUAAAGGUACAUAGAGAGGUAAGAUCCUUAUAGUUUAGGAAGA